GACGGGGGGGGCAAGUGUUCUUCGGAAUGACUGGGCGUAAAGGGCACGGUAGGCGGUGAAUCGGGUUGAAAGUGAAAGUCGCCAAAAGUGGCGGAAUGCUCUCGAAACCAAUUCACUUGAGUGAGACAGAGGAGAGUGGAAUUUCGUGUGUAGGGGUGAAAUCCGUAAAUAUACGAAGGAACGCCAAAAGCGAAGGCAGCUCGUCUGGGUCCCUACCGACGCUGGGGUGCGAAAGCAUGGGGAGCGAACAGG
rnacentral:rRNA from 1 species